UCCUACGGGGGGCAGCAGUGAGGAAUAUUGGUCAAUGGGCGCGAGCCUGAACCAGCCAAGUCGCGUGAGGGAAGACGGUCCUCUGGAUUGUAAACCUCUUUUGUCGGGGAGCAAAAGACGCCACGUGUGGGUUCCGAGAGUACCCGAAGAAAAAGCAUCGGCUAACUCCGUGCCAGCAGCCGCGGUAAUACGGAGGAUGCGAGCGUUAUCCGGAUUUAUUGGGUUUAAAGGGUGCGCAGGCGGAAGAUCAAGUCAGCGGUAAAAUUGAGAGG
rnacentral:rRNA from 1 species